rnacentral:rRNA from 1 species
GCCUUGCCAGCCCGCUACAAGAAACUUAAAUGAAGUUCGACGGGGGCCCGCACAAGCGGUGGAGCAUGUGGUUUAAUUCGAUGAUACGCGAGGAACCUUACCUGGGCUCAAAUGUAUGUUGACGUAUUCUGAAAGGGAUACUUCUUCGGACAAUAUACAAGGUGCUGCAUGGUUGUCGUCAGCUCGUGCCGUGAGGUGUCGGGUUAAGUCCCAUAACGAGCGCAACCCCUACCUUUAGUUGCCAUCAGGUUAAGCUGGGGACUCUAAAGGAACUGCCUACGCAAGUAGUGAGGAAGGCGGGGAUGACGUCAAAUCAGCACGGCCCUUACGUCCAGGGCUACACACGUGCUACAAUGGCCGAUACAGAGGGCAGCUACCUGGUGACAGGAUGCAAAUCUCCAAAGUCGGUCUCAGUUCGGAUCGGAGUCUGCAACCCGACUCCGUGAAGUUGGAUUCGCUAGUAAUCGCGCAUCAGCCAUGGCGCGGUGAAUACGUUCCCGGGCCUU